rnacentral:rRNA from 1 species
UACCGAGGGUGCAAACGUUGUUCGGAAUUACUGGGCGUAAAGCGCGUGUAGGCGGCCUAGUGUGUCGGGCGUGAAAUCCCACGGCUCAACCGUGGAAGUGCACUCGAAACUGCAAGGCUGGAGUACUGGAGAGGAUGGUAGAAUGCUCGGUGUAGAGGUGAAAUUCGUAGAUAUCGAGCGGAAUACCGGUGGCGAAGGCGGCCAUCUGGACAGUCACUGACGCUGAGACGCGAAAGCGUGGGGAGCAAACAGG